rnacentral:rRNA from 1 species
CGCGUAGGCGGCCCGAUCAGUCCGCUGUAAAAGUCCAGGGCUCAACCCUGGAAAGCCGGUGGAUACUGUCGGGCUAGAGUCCGGAAGAGGCGAGUGGAAUUCCUGGUGUAGCGGUGGAAUGCGCAGAUAUCAGGAGGAACACCGAUAGCGAAGGCAGCUCGCUGGGACGGUACUGACGCUGAGGUGCGAAAGCGUGGGGAGCGAACA